GCUCCGGCCGACGGACGACCUACGGCGGGGGUCUCCCUUUCUUCUCUCCAUUUGCUGCCCCUCCCCUAGCAUGCGUGUCCCUUCCAUGGCGCCUUCUCUCUCUCCCUCCCUCCCAUGGUGCCCCUCCCUCCUUUCCCAUGGCACGCCUCCCUCUCCCUCUGUCCCUCACAUGUCGUCCCUCUCCCUCCCUUCUUCCUAUGGCGCCUCAUUCCUCUGUCUUGUCUCUUGUGGUGUCUGUCCCUCUCUCUUUUUGAACCCUAGAACACAAGCAGGUUGAUUGGAGUUCAGUUUUGCAAGUCUGCGGCAGUCAAUUAAAAAGAAGGUGACACCAAUGCUAUGUGAGGCGUUGCAGGUUGGGCCGCUGGAGUAAGAAGCUGCUUCUCCUGCUGCUGCAUAGUGAGUAGUGUCUCAUGGCUGCUUAGUUAGUGAUUGCUUAGUACUCCUUUCUUUGUUAGUGAUUGCUUAGUCCCGCUUUCUUCUUUCUUACAAACUGAUGCAAAGAUUCUGCACAUAGGCCUUCUAGUUUACACAAACUUAUCCAAAUAAUCCAAUCAGCCCAGUCACUAUUAGCACUUCGGAUCUGCACCAAAUAUGACAUGGUGGGUGUGGCAUCUAUCAUAUUAUUAUAUAUGGUUAGUUGUAUCAUGUUGGUACUAUAGCGAAUAGCAAAUCUUGGAUCUUCCACUAGUAUAUCUAAAGCAGAACUGCACAAGCCAAGCUGAAAGAGAUAGGGAGGUAGUGUCUACGAUAUAACAAGAGCUAGCUCAGAGAGUGGCAGGGAGCUAGCCUAGUCCGGUGAUGGACUCUCCCAUGGGCUGCUGGUGGUUGCAGUGGUCGCCGUCCUCCUCUGCUACCCUUUUAUUUUAUUUGCUUCAUUAUACAUUUUUGUUGUUAUUCAGUUUUGAGCAUGCAUUUAGUUUUCUAGUUUUUGGGGGCGGAAUCGAACUUGGUAAAUCACAUGGAGGUUCCCCCUUGUGGGCUAGUUCAGUAUGUGUUGUCAUGUUUUUGUG